rnacentral:rRNA from 1 species
UACGUAGGGCGCAAGCGUUGUCCGGAAUUAUUGGGCGUAAAGAGCUCGUAGGCGGCUUGUCGCGUCGGGUGUGAAAGCCCGGGGCUUAACCCCGGGUCUGCAUUCGAUACGGGCUAGCUAGAGUGUGGUAGGGGAGACUGGAAUUCCUGGUGUAGCGGUGAAAUGCGCAGAUAUCAGGAGGAACACCGAUGGCGAAGGCAGGUCUCUGGGCCACUACUGACGCUGAGAAGCGAAAGCAUGGGGGAGCGAACAGG